rnacentral:rRNA from 1 species
GAUGAACGCUGACAGAAUGCUUAACACAUGCAAGUCAACUUGAAUUUGGGUUUUUAACUUAGGUUUGGGUGGCGGACGGGUGAGUAACGCGUAAAGAACUUGCCUCACAGCUAGGGACAACAUUUGGAAACGAAUGCUAAUACCUAAUAUUAUGAUAAUAGGGCAUCCUAUAAUUAUGAAAGCUAUAAGCGCUGUGAGAGAGCUUUGCGUCCCAUUAGCUAGUUGGAGAGGUAACGGCUCACCAAGGCGAUGAUGGUAGCCGGCCUGAGAGGGUGAUCGGCCACAAGGGGACUGAGACACGGCCCUUACUCCUACGGGAGGCAGCAGUGGGGAAUAUUGGACAAUGGACCGAGAGUCUGAUCCAGCAAUUCUGUGUGCACGAUGAAGUUUUUCGGAAUGUAAAGUGCUUUCAGUUGGGAAGAAACAAAUGACGGUACCAACAGAAGAAGUGACGGCUAAAUACGUG